UACGGAGGGUGCGAGCGUUGUCCGGAAUCACUGGGCGUAAAGGGCGCGUAGGCGGCGCGGAUAGUCGGCGGUGAAAGCCCGGAGCUCAACUCCGGGUCGGCCGUCGAUACUUCCGGGCUUGAGCACUGUAGAGGCAGAUGGAAUUCCGGGUGUAGCGGUGGAAUGCGUAGAGAUCCGGAAGAACACCGGUGGCGAAGGCGGCGAUCCUGGACCGGCAUUGACGCUGAGUGAGCGAAAGCCAGGGGAGCAA
rnacentral:rRNA from 1 species